rnacentral:lncRNA from 1 species
UGAAGCCAGAAGAGCCCUGACAGGAAGGUGCCACGCCAGUUGCCUUCACUUGUCUCUUUUUUGUUCGACUUUUGUAGUCCGUCGUGAGGCAAAUGGAGAACAUCCUCCAGUUGCCGCCCAUCCCGGAUGAGCUGCUGAAAGACAAACUGAGGAAGAUCAUGGAGGCUUUGGGUGACGGUGAAGACCCAGGCCUGCUGGAGGUGGUCUUCCACACCGCGCUCACUCUGGCCUUGUUCCCAAGCCGCAUCACUCACCUCUUCAAGAACAUCUGCUUCAAGCCAGCCACGGUGAAGGGCUCCUACCUUCCCACCAUGCCUGGAGACCUACUUUUCAAUGAGAAGAACUGGAAAAUUGGGCAGAGGGAUACAAUUUAUACUUGUCAGUGUGGCUCCUGCUGGGUUGUCACCGAGGUAAGUGACUCCUUCGGGCUGGUGGUCUCAGCUGCUCUGUCUUCUUGCCCAUCUCACUGCAGCUCUGUCACCUCCAUGGGAAAAAGCCCGGCUUGGGAUGAGCUUCUUGGGUCUUCUUCUGGCUGCCCAUCCUCUUUGCAUCAUCUCAAAACACA